UACAGAGGGUGCGAGCGUUUGUUCGGAAUUACUGGGCGUAAAGCGCGCGCAGGCGGCUCUUUAAGUCUGACGGUGAAAUGCCGGGGCUCAACCCCGUGCCCGCCGCGGAUACUGGAGGGCUGGAGACACGUAGAGGCAAGCGGAAUUCCGGGUGUAGCGGUGGAAUGCGUAGAGAUCCGGAAGAACACCGGAGGCGAAGGCGGCUUGCUGGGCGUAGUCUGACGCUGAGGCGCGAAAGCGUGGGGAGCGAACAGG
rnacentral:rRNA from 1 species